GUCUGGUUGGCUCAGUUGGUAGAGCGUCGGUCUCAUAUCUGGUCAGCAUAUGACGGUUCCGCAGGAGCUGCAAUCCGAAGAUCGCGAGUUCGAUCCUCGCACCGGACA